rnacentral:tRNA from 1 species
GCCUUCGUGGUGUAAUGGCCAGCACAGUCGACGCGUAUUCGAGAGGUCCGAGGUUCGAGUCCCGGCGAGGGCA